rnacentral:rRNA from 1 species
UGGGGAAUAUUGCACAAUGGGGGAAACCCUGAUGCAGCAACGCCGCGUGAGUGAUGACGGUCUUCGGAUUGUAAAGCUCUGUCUUUGGGGACGAUAAUGACGGUACCCAAGGAGGAAGCCACGGCUAACUACGUGCCAGCAGCCGCGGUAAUACGUAGGUGGCGAGCGUUAUCCGGAAUUAUUGGGCGUAAAGGGAGCGUAGGCGGAUAAUUAAGUGGGAUGUGAAAUACUCAGGCUCAACCUGGGGGCUGCAUUCCAAACUGAUUAUCUAGAGUGCAGGAGAGGAGAGUGGAAUUCCUAGUGUAGUGGUGAAAUGCGUAGAGAUUAGGAAGAACACCAGUGGCGAAGGCAACUCUCUGGACUGUAACUGACGCUGAGGCUCGAAAGCGUGGGGAGCAAACAGG